UUAGGUAUGUCAAGAAACAGAGAGUUCCAGAGAGGAUUCGUGUUCCUCAACCCUCAAUGCAGAGAUAUGCAGUGAUUUCUAUCUUUGAAAAAUCUGAUUUGCUCUGUCGAACCUAGGCGCGAACUCCGAUUCCGGAAGAGAUGCUAUUUCUCAAUGUCUUCACUCCACUUUGCAUUUCAGAAGAAAGAUACGUUGUGGCGGUUGGAUUCUCCGGAGACUCAUCUCUUCGUCAAGGUUUUGAAAGGUCGUUUAACGUCGAAUUGAGGUUCAAGCGGAGCUUGUACAGCUAGUGCUCUUGUUAAUAGCGCAGAACAAGCGCACGGGCUUUGGAAGUUUGUAAAUUCUUGAGGCCUUUCUUAAGUUUCUCGAUAUUGAGGGUAUUUUCAUCUGCUUCAUCGUUUUCGUUCACAAGGCUUAAGUUUCCUCUUUUGCGUCGCUGUCUUGCUCGUUCCAUUCGAAGCUAUGCCCAUUGUCAAGUUGAUGAUGGAAAGCUUCAAAUAUUUUCCGCGGAAAAUGCAGAAGUAAGUGUACUUGUCGGCCUAGUAAUCCUCCUUACUCCUUAGGCACUUUUUGACAGCUUUGUUUGCUCAUCUCAGUUACUCAUUUUAUUUCCUUCAGUCCUGGCCAUGAGUAUUUUGUCGCUCAACUCAGAUUCUUAAAGUUUGAAGGAUAUAUCAGGACAUGAAAAAUCUCAUUGACGUUGCUGAAUAUCUGGUGGAUGCAUUUACGGUAAUCUUGAGGAAGGUGGUUGGAACUGGAUCGGCUAAUAUUUAACAUGGGGGUCUUUUUUUGCUGGUGAUCCAAACGUAUGUCCCAGCUCUUCUGUAUGGUGCUUAUUAUGAAUGUUGGAAGUGCAUAGCUUCUCAGGGUUCAUCAUGUUCUUCACUUGCAUCAACAGGUUUUGCCUCCAUCUGUUCAUGCAAUUAUAGCAACUGCAUCAGUAUUGAUGUGGUUGUUUCAGUCUGAACAUGAAUACAAGGCAAUGGUCUGCUGCAAUUGCACUAGGGUUGGUCUCUCGUUGUUUACAUGCAAGUAUGCAACUGAUCACAAGCCAAAAUUUCAGAUCAUUGCUGGACUUCUUGAGGUGCAUAGUUAUGCAGCAAUUCUCUAUUAACAUCCUUGCAAAUGGUUUGCUGGAGGCAUUCAUGCCUAUUGGAAAGAACUGCUAAAUUAAGUUCUUGUUUAGGUCAAGUAUGACCGCCUAAAGAAGGGCCCAACAAGCAUAGGUUUUUUACACUUAUAUGAUUAUAUGUAAGAUAACUGUGAUAAUUUUAUAUAGCUAUGCUUAUAUGCAACAUC